rnacentral:snRNA from 1 species
GUGCUAGGAAGCACAUGACCCACAACUGGAAUGAUCCAGAGAAGAGAGCCCAAACUCUGCCCAAGGAUGACGUGCAAACUCCUGAAGCACUCUGUAUUUUU